AGACGUCUACAUUAGAUACCCGGGUAGUCCCAGCCGUAAACUAUGCGCGUUAGGUGUAUCGGUGACCACGAGUCACCGAGGUGCCGAGGAAACCGUGAAACGUGCCGCCUGGGAAGUACGGUCGCAAGGCUGAAACUUAAAGGAAUUGGCGGGGAGCACCACAACGGGUGGAGCCUGCGGUUUAAUUGGACUCAACGCCGGGAAGCUCACCGGAUAAGACAGCGGAAUGAUUGCCGGGCUGAAGACUCUGCAUGACUAGCUG
rnacentral:rRNA from 1 species